ACUUUCCAGAUUGGCUCACCAAUAUAGUAAUGAUAUGAAAAGCAAAUGAAAAAUGAUGAAUUUAUAUCGACUACACCAAUCUAAAUGAAUCUUGUCCAAAGGACAGCUUUUCUUUACCAAAGAUCGAUCAACUAGUCGACGCAACUUCGAAACAUCGACUUCUGAGCUUCAUGAACGUCUUUGUAGGCUAUAACUAAAUUUAGAUGGUACCCA
rnacentral:lncRNA from 1 species